UAGUCGGAUCAUUUUAAAAGUCAUUGGGCACAUUUUUAAUUAUAGGAUUAUCCAGAUUUACUGAUUCUACAUACUCCACAUUUUCAUCAACUGCUGGCAGAUGUAUUUCAUCUGAAUGUGAAAAAUAUAGGUCUACCUGUUCAGGUACUUUAAAAUGGUCAAACUCAUCAUAAUCACCAUCAUAAAACCCAUCAUCAGAACCUUCUGGUAUUUCGAAUAAUGCAUCAAUCAUUAUUUAUUUUUUUUUCAGUUAGUCCUUUAAAUUUCGACAUUGUUCGAUCUCAAAUUAAAACACAUGAAGUGAAAAAAUUAUGCCUAUCCAGCGGCAAAUUCAACAAAUAAAAAUCACAAAAAUCACAAAAAACAAUAUUCUAAUUUGUAUAAUCAUAGAUAACAUUGAUUAGAAGUCUGUGCGUAUAUAGUUGCAUUCGUGCAACCGUUAAUGAUUUUUGGUUACAGUUGUACCAACCAUCCAAAACAACUAUACGACAUUUUUUCACCGUAUUUUACUAUCAAAAAAUAAUUUUCAUUUGCCGAAAUCAUGUAUAUUUUCAACAUGAAAAACAAAUAAACUUACCUAAACCCUUAUGAAUGAUUAUCUACUGACUACCAUCUGAUUUUAUGAUAUGUUUGAAAAUACCGAAUACCGAAUAACCAAAUGUUACAUUACUAAU